UCUAUGUAUCAUGUUUGUUUUCAUGAAAUUGUAUGUUUAACUCCGACGAAAAAUGUAAAGUCACAAUAAGUUAUUCAAGACGCAGUUGUAGAAGCUUGGGAUGAGGAAAUCCGAUCCGAUAUAAUUUUCAACCGUAAUGCAAUUCUUUUAAUGGGCGAUGUUCAGCCAAUCAAACAAAGAACAAGAUAUUGGUCGUUCAGUGUCAAAUCGACCUUUCCAAUCCUGAUCUGUGUAUAAUUCGCAAACAUUUAUUGGUGGGUUAGUUAGUUAGUUCAGGCAAGCACGAGUAGAAGACCCGGACUUAUUGCAGCGGUGCCAUCCCGAGUUAAACAAUAAAACCCAUUACUUGAAUCAGACACAAAUAGGUGGCGAGCAAACAAUUUGCGGUGUCGUCUCUUAUUCAUUCGUUGCUAGAACUAAUUGGGGCGUGCAUCAAUAGAUGCCAGGCGCUAAUCUUCUCAUAGUAAAUUUAGUUCCCUUAGGCACGUAGCAUUAGUUCGCGUUGAUCUAAUCCUAGCACCUAAAUUCUCGCAGUUCAAGGAUUUCAAGGAAUUAUAUUAAAAAAUGACACCUUAAUUUAAAAGAAUUUAUUUUAUAUAAUAAACAGCUAUUAUAAAAGUUCUUCGGGCUCACUCAAGGAGGAAAGACACGUUUGCAACACCCUGUAUUGAUGUUUUGUGUUCUCGCUUUCCUAAAGAUAAAUUCUUCUCACCCCUAAACAUAACGGGAGUAGACACACAUUUUACGUAUAAAGGAAUUACUAGAAAGCUUAAACUAACUGAUUAAUGUCAGGACAGAUUAAAUCACGAAUUAAACAACAUUAAAACUUGGCAUAGAGAACAAGAUUGCUUUUGCUUAUUAUAAAAGCAAAGAGCUUCGUGGCUUCGUGUGGUAAACAGACGCAUUGUUUUUCUAUCGUGCUCUUGCGGACCACUAUGAAACUUUGGCAAAAUCGAUGCAAUUUAAUUGUGCAUGGACCCUGUAUAAAAUGUCCUUCACAUCUCAUCAAACUUCAAAGUUACAGCAAACAUCGGAAAAUAUUAAAAUUUGCACAAAUAAUAGCGUUGUCGAAUUUUUUCAAAUAUUUCGCGCCCCGUAUAAUUGACGAAACUUGAAACUUCCUCACGACACGGUUUACGAUACUGUUCAAAUAAAAUUAUCCCAUCCUUAA